rnacentral:lncRNA from 1 species
GUGGCCAACUUGGAGUCCAAGGUGGGCAGGCAGAGAUUUUGGAAAUUUGUGACACCACCUACAUAAAUGUUUUCCUUGUUGAGUGAGAAAACCUGCCUUUGUUUUUAACAUACUAAUAAUUGGAUUUGGCCAGGGAACGUGAAGGAAGAUUUGCAUCCAAGUCCAAAUCAUUCGUGGACUUGUUUAUUUAUUUAUUAUUAUUUAUUUUUGGCUACAAGUGGAUUUGUUUAAAUACAUUAAGGAAUCUUGUCAACAUUG